UAGAAAUGUAGGCUUUGCCGGCAUUGGUUGAGCUGUGCUGGGCCCUAGGCAGCGAUGACUCAAACUUGACCCUUAACCCCCAGGCAGGUGGGGUUGGGGAGAGGCCUCGGGAUGGCAAGGACCAGGGUCUGCGGCCAAGCCUGUGGGUCCUGUCUCCCUCUAGGAUGCCCCUGGGACACUGGUACCCAUGGAUGCACUGGGUGACUUGAGGUGCUUGCUGCAGAGGCAUCGGGGGUCUCUGGCCAGAGGUGACAUCUGAAGCAAUCGGGAUCCUGUUUGGUUUUGCCACAUCCGACCUGCCGCCCAGCUGGGGCAAGACAGCCACGCGCGGCGGAUGCACCGGCCCUGAACUCUUUCUCGAGUAGUCCCCAGAGAUUUCAGGAAGAGAGAGAAGAGGUAAAGAGACCAGAAACAAAGUCUUCUGCAAGCAAAGAACUGCAACAGGCCCCAGCUGUUAGGUUUGAGGGGCGUAUGGGGCAGGCGACUGAACUGCAGAGUUGGAGCCAGAGGUACCAUUGCUGACCCCUGAGCCCAGGAGCCUUGAGAAUACUGACAGUGUUAAUAAUAACUGCAAUCAUCCAACAUAUGAUGCUAGAAUAACUGGACAUCUGUGUGCAAAAAUAUUAAACCUAUACCUUGCACCUUA
rnacentral:lncRNA from 1 species